rnacentral:rRNA from 1 species
AUUGAACGCUGGCGGCAGGCCUAACACAUGCAAGUCGAGCGGAUGAAGGGAGCUUGCUCCUGGAUUCAGCGGCGGACGGGUGAGUAAUGCCUAGGAAUCUGCCUGGUAGUGGGGGAUAACGUCCGGAAACGGGCGCUAAUACCGCAUACGUCCUGAGGGAGAAAGUGGGGGAUCUUCGGACCUCACGCUAUCAGAUGAGCCUAGGUCGGAUUAGCUAGUUGGUGGGGUAAAGGCCUACCAAGGCGACGAUCCGUAACUGGUCUGAGAGGAUGAUCAGUCACACUGGAACUGAGACGCGGUCCAGACUCCUACGGGAGGCAGCAGUGGGGAAUAUUAGACAAUGGGCGAAAGCCUGAUCCAGCCAUGCCGCGUGUGUGAAGAAGGUCUUCGGAUUGUAAAGCACUUUAAGUUGGGAGGAAGGGCAGUAAGUUAAUACCUUGCUGUUUUGACGUUACCAACAGAAUAAGCACCGGCUAACUUCGUG